UUUUAGAAAAUAUCAAUAAACAAAACAUAGAAAUCUUAUAGCAAUGAAAAAUCUCAACCAACAUAAUCACUAACAAACAGCAGGACCAGCAUAUAAAACUUCCAUUCCACAUGUAUGACUUUAAAACUGUAAGAAAUAUAGUUAAAAAGAAUGGCAAGAAAAUAGCUCAAUAAGAGUUCCUACCAUAUUCAAUGUAUUAAGAAACAAAAAAGAUGAUGAAACAAGGGGUCUAUAAAAUACUGAUAGAUAAUUGGGACCUAGAAUGUGAAGAAUAUUAUGUAGGUGUAACUAAGAGGAACCUGCAAGACAGACUACAAGAAAACUGGAAGGACAUGCAGCAAGCUAACUUAAAUACCAUCCUAGCGACACAGUGUUAUGAAAAUAAUGUCACUGUAAGAAGGGAAGAUGCAAGAAUAAUUCAGAAAUGCACUGGCCAUAAAAAUGGAUUCCUUAUAGAAACAUUAAAAAUUAUAUAAAGAUGAUGAUGAUGGGUAAUGAAAAACAACAGAAGGAAGUUUCACUUGCAUGGCUAUAUGCUACACAAAAUGUUUAGAAAUAAUGCAAACAGAGUUAUCUUAUUCUAUUAAUUAAUUCUGAAAUGUCAUUUCUGUG
rnacentral:lncRNA from 1 species